GAUGCAAGAGAGGGGGAGAGAGGAGAAACAAAGGAGAUAGGGAUAGUGGUACUAUAGGAAUUAAAAAAAACAAAUCUCUUAUCUGACUUGUUUGAUUGAUGGAAUAUGCUUAAAAAAUAUUAGCAGAAGGACUAAAGUAUUCAAUGGAAUGAAAAGUUAGGUAGUAAAUCAGCAAUUUCUGAAAAACGAGGGACAUAAGUGUUAAUGAUGGCAAAAUUAGGGACUGAAAAAUAAAUUUCCCACAAAUAAAUAAUAAUCUAACUCGGCAAGAUCUGAAAAUCAAUAAAUCAAUGAGAACCCUCAGUCACUAAGAGGUUUAGAUGAGAAAAACAUUUUCAGUUCUAACAAACUAAACUAAGAAAACCAAAAUCCAUCUGAUAAUUAUAUUUGAUAAAAGAAACCCGUACAAUAUCUAUAUUCAAUUUACCAAUUCAACCAGAUACAAGAUUCAUAAACAACCAAUACUGUAUAAGAGAAUAACAGUUAAAAUAUUAUUGAAGACAGGAAACUGAAAAUUUUGUCUAGCACUUCAAGCAAUUAAAG
rnacentral:misc_RNA from 1 species